CGUAGGAAGCACCAAGUGUCGAAGACACAUUUAGAAUGGUGCUGACGAAAUGCCGCCGAAUGAAUAUGAGGGGGCGAUACCAAAC
rfam:Coprococcus sp. CAG:782 genomic scaffold, scf80